rnacentral:misc_RNA from 1 species
CCUAGAGUUGUAGGCUUUGCCUGCUAUCUCUUACCCAUGUCUUUUGAGUACCUUCGUUUCCUCGGUGGGUUCGCCCGCCGAUUGGACAAAACUUAAACCCUUUGUAGUUGCAAUCAGCGUCUGAAAAACUUAAUAGUUA